UCUCCGUUGGUGAACCAGCGGAGGGAUCAUUACAGAGUUUCCCUACUCCCAAACCCCUGUGAACUUAUACCUUUACUGUUGCUUCCGCGGGUUAAAGCCCCGGAAGGCCCAAAAACCCGCUGGGCCCAGGCGCCCGCCGGGGGUCCCAAAAUAUUGUAUUUCUUACUUUACAUGUCUGACUGGAAUCAUAUACAAUUAAAUCAAAACUUUCAACAACGGACCUCUUGGUUCUG
rnacentral:misc_RNA from 1 species